AACGCGAAGAACCUUACCUGGGUUUGACAUGCACAGGACGCCGGUAGAGAUAUCGGUUCCCUUGUGGCCUGUGUGCAGGUGGUGCAUGGCUGUCGUCAGCUCGUGUCGUGAGAUGUUGGGUUAAGUCCCGCAACGAGCGCAACCCUUGUCUCAUGUUGCCAGCGGGUAAUGCCGGGGACUCGUGAGAGACUGCCGGGGUCAACUCGGAGGAAGGUGGGGAUGACGUCAAGUCAUCAUGCCCCUUAUGUCCAGGGCUUCACACAUGCUACAAUGGCCGGUACAAAGGGCUGCGAUGCCGCGAGGCUUAGCGAAUCCUUUAAAGCCGGUCUCAGUUCGGAUCGGGGUCUGCAACUCGACCCCGUGAAGUCGGAGUCGCUAGUAAUCGCAGAUCAGCAACGCUGCGGUGAAUACGUUCCCGGGCCUUGUA
rnacentral:rRNA from 1 species